AUAGAUAUAAGUUAAGUGGUAAACUGAAUGUCUUCCACACAUUGAUUGUGAGUUCGAUUCUCACUAUCUAGA
rnacentral:tRNA from 2 species